GACGAACGUUGGCGGCGUGCUUAACACAUGCAAGUCGAACGGAAAGGCCCUGCUUUUGUGGGGUGCUCGAGUGGCGAACGGGUGAGCAACACGUGAGUAACCUGCCCUUGACUUUGGGAUAACUUCAGGAAACUGGGGCUAAUACCGGAUAGGAGCUCCUGCUGCAUGGUGGGGGUUGGAAAGUUUCGGCGGUUGGGGUUGGACUCGCGGCUUAUCAGCUUGUUGGUGGGGUAGUGGCUUACCAAGGCUUUGACGGGUAGCCGGCCUGAGAGGGUGACCGGCCACAUUGGGACUGAGAUACGGCCCAGACUCCUACGGGAGGCAGCAGUGGGGAAUAUUGCACAAUGGGCGGAAGCCUGAUGCAGCAACGCCGCGUGCGGGAUGACGGCCUUCGGGUUGUAAACCGCUUUCGCCUGUGACGAAGCGUGAGUGACGGUAAUGGGUAAAGAAGCACCGGCUAACUACGUGCCUGCAGCCGCGGUGAUACGUAGGGUGCGAGCGUUGUCCGGAUUUAUUGGGCGUAAAGGGCUCGUAGGUGGUUGAUCGCGUCGGAAGUGUAAUCUUGGGGCUUAACCCUGAGCGUGCUUUCGAUACGGGUUGACUUGAGGAAGGUAGGGGAGAAUGGAAUUCCUGGUGGAGCGGUGGAAUGCGCAGAUAUCAGGAGGAACACCAGUGGCGAAGGCGGUUCUCUGGGCCUUUCCUGACGCUGAGGAGCGAAAGCGUGGGGAGCGAACAGGCUUAGAUACCCUGGUAGUCCACGCUGUAAACGGUGGGUACUAGGUGUGGGGUCCAUUCCACGGGUUCCGUGCCGUAGCUAACGCUUUAAGUACCCCGCCUGGGGAGUACGGCCGCAAGGCUAAAACUCAAAGGAAUUGACGGGGCCCCGCACAAGCGGCGGAGCAUGCGGAUUAAUUCGAUGCAACGCGUAGAACCUUACCUGGGUUUGACAUGGAUCGGGAGUGCUCAGAGAUGGGUGUGCCUCUUUUGGGGUCGGUUCACAGGUGGUGCAUGGCUGUCGUCAGCUCGUGUCGUGAGAUGUUGGGUUAAGUCCCGCAACGAGCGCAACCCUUGUUCACUGUUGCCAGCACGUUAUGGUGGGGACUCAGUGGAGACCGCCGGGGUCAACUCGGAGGAAGGUGGGGAUGACGUCAAGUCAUCAUGCCCCUUAUGUCCAGGGCUUCACGCAUGCUACAAUGGCUGGUACAGAGAGUGGCGAGCCUGUGAGGGUGAGCGAAUCUCGGAAAGCCGGUCUCAGUUCGGAUUGGGGUCUGCAACUCGACCUCAUGAAGUCGGAGUCGCUAGUAAUCGCAGAUCAGCAACGCUGCGGUGAAUACGUUCCCGGG
rnacentral:rRNA from 1 species